rnacentral:rRNA from 1 species
UACAGAGGGUGCGAGCGUUAAUCGGAAUUACUGGGCGUAAAGCGCACGUAGUCGGCUUUGCAAGUCGGGUGUGAAAUCCCCGGGCUCAACCUGGGAACUGCAUCCGAGACUGCAUUGCUAGAGUAUGGGAGAGGGAAGCGGAAUUUCUGGUGUAGCAGUGAAAUGCGUAGAUAUCAGAAGGAACAUCAGUGGCGAAGGCGGCUUCCUGGACCAAUACUGACGAGCAGGUGCGAAAGCGUGGGGAGCAAACAGG